rnacentral:rRNA from 1 species
GACGAACCGUGCGAACGUUGUUCGGAUUCACUGGGCUUAAAGGGCGCGUAGGCGGGCGGUCAAGUCGGGGGUGAAAUCUUUCCGCUUAACGGGAAGCGUGCCUCCGAUACUGAUCGCCUCGAGGGAGGUAGGGGCAUGUGGAACUUCCGGUGGGGCGGUGAAAUGCGUAGAUAUCGGAAGGAACGCCGGUGGCGAAAGCGACGUGCUGGACCUCUUCUGACGCUGAGGCGCGAAAGCUAGGGGAGCAAACAGG